rnacentral:lncRNA from 1 species
GUGUGUGUUUUGCUUUACAGCUAUUAGGUCUGAGUUCCCGACUCCCUAUUAGUCUGUUUGUUUCUUUUGACGUCUCAGCGUCUCUGUGAGUUUGUGUGCCAGUUAUUAGGCUCGAGUUCCAGACUCCCUAUUAGCUUGUCGAUCUGAUAACCUUUUCCUUUGGUGUUCGCUGGUUAGCGAUUGUUUAUUUGUUUGGAGUCGGAUGUAAGCCCAUCUAUUGGCAUUCUGUUUCCUGUUGUGUAUGCUUGGAGUCGGAUGUAAG